UUAUGCCUGAUCGGUGUAUCUUCUUCAGAUCUAAACACCGUAUAAUUUAAAUCUGCAUUGUCGCACUCGCCAGCCUGCUGCCAUCUGAUCGAACAAUGCCUCAAGAAGAAGCCCAGCAAGCGUCUCACCCUCGGGCAGAUCCUCCUGCAUGGGUGGUUUGAUGAGUAACCGGAAGACUAGGUCCAGACGGUGUAGAUCUUUACACUCAUACUGGCGGCUGCAAAAAAGAGGGAUCUGCGCGUCUUCCAGCAAAGGUACGACCGGCUGAUACAGAUGCUGGAGAAUCGUACUAAUCGGAUGUGGGCCAAAGUGGAGCUGGCGCAGAUCGGGAUCCAGCACGUCAACUUUAUAGACAUCGUCUUUGAGCUGGUGCUGCUGGGAAUUCUGGGAAGAGCGAGGGUGCAUCAGAUCAUCUCAUUGACGCAGUACCGGAGACGAAGGCUCUUUCUGGACCGGCUGAUUGCUCUCAUCUAUUCGUGUGUUACGCCCAGAUAGACUGAACGUGUUAUUUAUUCCAUCUUCAGACUGAGAUGCUGAGCUUCCUGGAUGAAAUCUUCACUCUGGACGAGUCUUUGUAUGCAGAACCUGAAGCCCUGGCUGCUGCACUGGAGACGCUUUUAUGGCGGAGCCUCCAACGGUUUCAUGAAAGGCUGGAAACAGAGGACAUCUAAAGGCCAACCUUGAUUAGAACCUUUAUUUAACUGUCAGGGAUGCAUGUCUGGUGGUUGACGUGUUUUUAAUGUUUGUUCACAGUUUGUGUACUUGUGGAGGUGCGUCAGGACCCAAGACAUCGGCGACGUGUGAAGAUACCACCGAUGUGGAAGCAUGUAUUAGGAUCUCUGAGAGACCUGCUGCCUUUAAGACGAUGUCUUUACAUCAGGACAACGCCCGGAUGACUUUGUGGACCAGAUCCAGAUGUGUAAAAAGCUGAUGUUCUGUAAAAAUUUAAUAAAAAAAGAAGAAACUGUGA